GUUUAUUUUGGAAUAGGUUUAGACUUUCGCUGUCCAGGUACGCUUGCUCUCUACUUUUAGUUUUGUACGUUCUAUAUUUUGACCUCAACGUUAAAGUAUUUAUAGAAUUUCUGGUCAAGGUUAUUUCAUCCGCUUUUGUUGGGGACUUUUUAAGAUGGAUUAAUAUGUUUUCUCGAUCAGGAUGUUUAGUAGCAGAUGGUAAAUACUUUAAUUUAAUAUUAUAGUAACAUGACAUAAGUAUUAUCAUCGACAUGACUAGAUUCUCUAGUACACAAUAAAAAAAAUUUGCCACUUUAUUAAAUACACAUACAGUAAUGUACUUUUUCUUUUUAUUUGUCUUUUUCUUUUUCAGGAUAAAACUUUCAUGAAGAACAGACCAUUUCUGAUCUUCAUUAUUGGAAUUGAUUAGACUAUCUGUCAGUCUGGAUAUUUUAAGUGGACAACCUUCAUCAGCUGUGUCACAUAACAACAAACAUUUUGAGACAUAUCUCGAAUAAUAUAUACAGUUAAAAAUAAAUGAAAUCAGUGCUAUACAUACUGUUUUGUGAAAAAUAUGAUUGACAAAAUGCA
rnacentral:lncRNA from 1 species